UGAGAAGCAAUCGCUAUACUGAAGCAAUA
rnacentral:sRNA from 1 species